GCGGGAAUAGCUCAGUUGGUAGAGCGUCACGUUGCCAACGUGAAGGUCGCCGGUUCGAACCCGGUUUCCCGCU
rnacentral:tRNA from 1 species